rnacentral:rRNA from 1 species
CCUACGGGUGGCAGCAGUGAGGAAUCUUGGUCAAUGGACGAGAGUCUGAACCAGCAAAGUCGCGUGAAGGAUGAAUGCCCUAUGGGUUGUAAACUUCUUUUAUAUGGGAAUAAAAUGUUCCACGUGCGGGACUUUGUAUGUACCAUAUGAAUAAGGAUCGGCUAACUCCGUGCCAGCAGCCGCGGUAAUACGGAGGUUCCGAGCGUUAUCCGGAUUUAGUGGGUUUAACGGGAGCGUAGGUGGAUUGUUAAGUCAGUUGUGAAAGUUUGCGGCUCAACCGUAAAGUUGCAGUUGAAACUGGCAGUCUUGAGUACAGGAGAGGGGGGCGGAAUUCGUGGUGUAGCGGUGAAAUGCUUAGAUAUCACGAAGAACUCCGAUUGCGAAGGCAGCUCACUGGACUGCAACUGACACUGAGGCGCGAAAGUGUGGGUAUCAAACAGGAUUAGAUACCCUAGUAGUC